rnacentral:rRNA from 1 species
UACGUAGGGUGCAAGCGUUGUCCGGAAUCAUUGGGCGUAAAGCGCGCGUAGGCGGCCCGAUAAGUCCGCUGUAAAAGUCAACGGCUCAACUGUUGAAAGCCGGUGAAUACUGUCGGACUAGAGUGCGGAAGAGGCGAGUGGAAUUCCUGGUGUAGCGGUGAAAUGCGCAGAUAUCAGGAGGAACACCUAUUGCGAAGGCAGCUCGCUGGUACGUAACUGACGCUGAGACGCGAAAGUGUGGGGAGCAAACAGG